UGAGAGGGUUUCUUCCCCGUAAGGGGCACUGCACACAGGUGCUGCAUGGCUGUCGUCAGCUCGUGUCGUGAGAUGUUGGGUUAAGUCCCGCAACGAGCGCAACCCACGCCCUUAGUUGCCAGCAUUCAGUUGGGCACUCUAGGGGAACCGCCGGUGAUAAGCCGGAGGAAGGUGUGGAUGACGUCAAGUCCUCAUGGCCCUUACGAGGUGGGCUACACACGUGCUACAAUGGCAGUGACAAUGGGUUAAUCCCUAAAAGCUGUCUCAGUCCGGAUUGGGGUCUGCAACUCGACCCCAUGAAGUCGGAAUCGCUAGUAAUCGCGUAACAGCAUGACGCGGUGAAUACGUUCCCGGGCCUUGUACACACCGCCCGUCACACCAUGGGAAUUGGAUCUACCCGAAGGCCGUGCGCCAACCCGCAAGGGAGGCAGCGGACCACGGUAGGCUCAGUGACUGGGGUGAAGUCGUAACAAGGUAACC
rnacentral:rRNA from 1 species